rnacentral:tRNA from 1 species
GCGCCGCUAGCUCAGUUGGUUAGAGCAGCUGACUCUUAAUCAGCGGGUCCAGGGUUCGAGUCCCUGGCGGCGCA